ensembl:snoRNA
UUGUGAUGAAACUUAACAAAAUAGCUGGAAUUACCGGCAGAUUGUUUAGUGUUGAUCAAUGUUUUCUGAAC